UACGUAGGGUGCGAGCGUUGUCCGGAAUUAUUGGGCGUAAAGAGCUCGUAGGUGGUUUGUCGCGUUGUUCGUGAAAACUCACAGCUCAACUGUGGGCGUGCGGGCGAUACGGGGCAGACUAGAGUACUGCAGGGGAGACUGGAAUUCCUGGUGUAGCGGUGGAAUGCGCAGAUAUCAGGAGGAACACCGGUGGCGAAGGCGGGUCUCUGGGGCAGUAACUGACGCUGAGGAGCGAAAGCGUGGGGGAGCGAACAGGA
rnacentral:rRNA from 1 species